rnacentral:rRNA from 1 species
UACGUAGGGUGCAAGCGUUAAUCGGAAUUACUGGGCGUAAAGCGUGCGCAGGCGGUUCUAUAAGACAGAGGUGAAAUCCCCGGGCUCAACCUGGGAACUGCCUUUGUGACUGCAUAGCUAGAGUACGGUAGAGGGGGAUGGAAUUCCGCGUGUAGCAGUGAAAUGCGUAGAUAUGCGGAGGAACACCGAUGGCGAAGGCAAUCCCCUGGACCUGUACUGACGCUCAUGCACGAAAGCGUGGGGAGCAAACAGG